rfam:Mesorhizobium alhagi CCNWXJ12-2 contig231, whole genome shotgun sequence.
UUUAUUCACCAGGGGAGUCCCGGCAAGGGGCUGAGAUACUGCUGGCUUUCGCGGCGCAGUGACCCGUUGAACCUGAUCCAGUUCAUACUGGCGUAGGGACGGUGCAAGCGCUUUGCG